UAUAUUGUUCAUCGAUUAGGCCUUUACCUGUUAAAUGAAUAAUCUGAUAAGAAGUCUGCAAUGCAUCAAGAUUUUCUCUGAUGAUACUAUUAAGCUUUUUACUUCCUAAACUGCCUCCCAUAACUAAUAGUACUUUUUUGUUAUCAUUAAACUCUGUGAGUUGAUAACC
rnacentral:ncRNA from 1 species